GACGAACGCUGGCGGCGUGCCUAAUAAAUGCAAGUAGAACGCAGUUGCGAACGGGUGAGUCACGCGUAGGUAACUGCCUGGUAGCGGGGGAUAACUAUUGGAAACGAUAGCUAAUACCGCAUACUACCAGAUGGACCUGCGUUGUAUUAGCUAGUUGGUGAGGUAACAGAUCACCAAGGCAACGAUACAGAGACGACCUGCGGGGCUGUUCGGCCACACUGGGACUGUGUCACGGCCCAGACUCCUACGUGAGGCAGCAGUAGGGAAUCUUUGGCAAUGGGGGGAACCCUGACCGCUCAACGCCGGUUGAGUGAAGAAGGUUUUCGGAUCUUAAAGCUCUGUUGUUAAGGGAGCGGUACUUAACCAGAAAGGGACGGCUAACUACGUGCCAGAAGCCGCGGUAAUUC
rnacentral:rRNA from 1 species